CCGCCACUAGCUCAUCAGGUUAGAGUCAAUAACUUUGAGGUUGUAGGUGCGGGGUUCGAGUCCUCGGUGGCGGUCCA
rnacentral:tRNA from 1 species